rnacentral:rRNA from 1 species
GUAGGUGGCAAGCGUUGUCCGGAAUUAUUGGGCGUAAAGCGCGCGCAGGCGGUUCUUUAAGUCUGAUGUGGAAGCCCACGGCUCAACCGUGGAGGGUCAUUGGAAACUGGAGAACUUGAGUACAGAAGAGGAAAGCGGAAUUCCACGUGUAGCGGUGAAAUGCGUAGAGAUGUGGAGGAACACCAGUGGCGAAGGUGGCUUUCUGGUCUGUAACUGACGCUGAGGCGCGAAAGCGUGGGGAGCAAACAGGAUUAGAUACCCUGGUAGUCCACGCCGUAAACGAUGAGUGCUAAGUGUUAGGGGGUUUCCGCCCCCCUUAGUGCUGCAGCUAACGCAUUAAGCACUCCGCCUGGGAGUACGGCCGCAAGGCUG